ACCAUCUCCCAUAUUGUAUAUAGUAGGGUAUGGAUCCGAAGCCUCUUCAAGGUUAACAUAGGCUCUCCACACCCCACUUAGACACAAUACGUCCCCGGCAUACAGAAUGGUAUGUCUCUCCAAAAAUCUGAGCUUGGGUAUACGGGGAAACCGAAUCCCAUGGGAAGAUGGGUGAUAUGGCUAAAUUGAGGGGG
rnacentral:ribozyme from 1 species